UACAAGGGACGUGUGGGAUUCAGGACAGAGAGCUUGAAGUUUGAUGUCAGCUACGCACUGUGGAAACGCAGAUGGUGUUGCCAACUCUCACGAUAUUUGGAGUCUUUUCUGAAGCCCCAGAUGCUGUGGGUAUGUGCAUACCCCCUGUCAGAGGGGAGAGCCUGGUUCGCUGGAGCUUAGGGCUUUUCUGGAGAAGAGUGCCCUGCCUGUUUGCUCUUCACUUUGCCUGUUCUAAACCCUGACAGCUGAUCUCCAUCUGUAAGUGGGCUGUGAGCCACUGGCAGAUGGUAGCGCCGGUUAUGCAGGAUUCAAAGCACAUGCAAAAUCACUCAGUUGCUGGGGAGGAACCUGGAGCUGUGGCCACAGCAGCUUGUUGGCUGCAAAUCAGAUCAGAAGGAAACAGGUUAUUUGCUAUAGCUUGUCUGGAAUAGAAACUAAAUUAGCAGGGCUGCCGCUGCUGUGAGACAACCAGAGUAUGGCCAGCAGCAGGCAGCAUGCCUGGCCCAAACCUCUCCUCCCAGGCUAAGGCCAAGGAACGCGAGGGUCCUCUCCUAAAGAGACAGAGUCCUCAUGCCCCCUUUCCUGCCUUGCAUCCUUCAGACAUUCCAGGCUGAGAUCUACAGUAAGAAGAAGAGU